rnacentral:rRNA from 1 species
GACGAACGCUGGCGGCGUGCUUAACACAUGCCAGUCGAACGGAAAGGCCCUGCUUUUGUGGGGUGCUCGAGUGGCGAACGGGUGAGUAACACGUGAGUAACCUGCCCUUGACUUUGGGAUAACUUCAGGAAACUGGGGCUAAUACCGGAUAGGAGCUCCUGCUGCAUGGUGGGGGUUGGAAAGUUUCGGCGGUUGGGGAUGGACUCGCGGCUUAUCAGCUUGUUGGUGAGGUAGUGGCUUACCAAGGCUUUGACGGGUAGCCGGCCUGAGAGGGUGACCGGCCACAUUGGGACUGAGGUACGGCCCAGACUCCUACGGGAGGCAGCGGUGGGGAAUAUUGCACAGUGGGCGGAAGCCUGAUGCAGCAACGCCGCGUGCGGGAUGACGGCCUUCGGGUUGUAAACCGCUUUCGCCUGCGACGAAGCGUGAGUGACGGUAAUGGGUAAAGAAGCACCGGCUAACUACGUG